rnacentral:lncRNA from 1 species
UGAGAAAUUAUCUCAGUAAAAACUGCAGAAGAGUCGAGAUAUUUUAUUAGAUGGGAUUUGAAAUAGGGCCAGUAAGAUGAUAUGAAUCUCUCAUAAUUAACCUCUCUUGAUCUGAUAAAGCUUUGCAGGGUAACGGUUCUUGAAGGUUUAUGUGCAUCAGGAAAUCUUGAGAAGUACGAAAUACCCACUGUUCCAUCAAGCAUCAUCAAAAACUUAUGAAAAGUGAUAACAAGGGGGUAUGACUUCGAUGGGAUAUUAACAAAAGAAUCUGGAAUAUCCUUGAAUUGCACCGGGUCGAUAUAAUCCAAAUCUAGUGAACUACUUUCUACCAAAAAUUUCCCACCAGAAGCAAAGCUACAAGUCCAAGGAAAUACAGUUAGAAACAAAAACAACCUUUUUGUACCUAGAAUACAGAUUUAUUUUCAGAUAAAAGAUAACCGAUUACAUGUUAAAGCUACCAAACAAACAAUAUAGAGAUUAUGGAAAAUCUAUUAGAGCAAUCAUGUAAAUAAGGACUUCUAGACGACAACCAAGGCUAGGUGCUUAUAUACAAAUAACAAAGAGUAAAAAGGUUGAUGUAUUAUAAUUCUUUCCUUACCUUUGGAAGUGAGAUAAUUGUCGUCUAAUGGCAUUACACAGUCUCGGACUAACCGUAACAAAAAGUUGGUGCAAGCAUGCUCCCUUUGCAUCGCCAGUGCAUUCACCAAUUUCAUUUCUCUGACUAGCAUGCGUAGACGAAUGGCCCUCAACUUCAUAUAAUCCCUCUGAAGCAAUAUGAAACAAUUGCUCUUUCUGGAAUAGCUUCAUGCCCAAAACUGUAGUUUUCCCGGUGCCAGACCUUCCAAGUAUAAAACUGCUUCUAUUGAAGAAAAUGGUCUCCCGUUCUUGGUCAGUUAAUUCAAAGGGAAGAUCCAGUUCUCUACCAUCAUGGCCAGAAAUAAAGUGUCGCACCAUAUUAAAUGUCACGGAGUAAAAUUUCAUAAUUAAAAAGCUCUCACUCACAAUUGAGUUCUCAAAACCACCUCUUCUGGCCAGACCACUAACAUUUGAAAUUCUACCAGUUGCAUUAUUGCUAAGACUCUUGUAUUGAACAAUAUCAUAUGAAGUUGUCCAACUCAUUGGAAUUUCCAAUUCCCUGUGCUUAAAAAACAAGGUUAAAAUUCAAUCAAUUUUCAAUUAGUGAAAAAAAAGUUUGUGUGUUCAAUCUUUCUGAAGUUGUAAAUUAAUAGCAAACAAAAAAAAUAUAAUCUUACCCCUCCCAAGAUUUCUUCUUGCAACGAGUGAGAUAAUCAUCAGUGUACAUUUCAAAUAGGCUGUCAAGGUGUUUAACCAGCUUCGGAAUAUCCUCCAAUGCUAAUAUAUCCCAAACUUUAAGAACCUGGGUAUAGUAGCCACAUUCCUUCUCAAGAUCAUUUGAGCAAACAAUGUACAGAUAUCCCACCUUGAAUUUUUUCAAAAUCAUGGAAGAACUUUCACAAGGCAAAUCUAUAUUCCUCCUUUUAGGUCGCCAGCCAGUUGACAGUUUUAGUAAUAAGGCGAUGACCGUAUUCUGAGUAUGAGAUGACUUCAAGUUAUAGAACGCUUUUCUAAAAUUUUCACUGAAAAUAACCUAGGUAUGGAUGGAGAUAAGAAAACAAAGGAUAAGAUCUUGUCAAAAGGAGUUAACUAUACAAAACAUAAAGAAAUAUUGUGCUAAAAUGCAAGGUUAGGAAAGGUUUAUCAAUGAGAGAAAAAAAAAUGUGUAGCUACCACAUCCUACACACCUUCCAUCUAGCACUGUUGAACAGUGAACUAUCCUUAUUAAGUAAAUCAUCCAGUUCAUCAAGCUCUGUCUUGACCUUAAAUAUAGUAUUGGCCAAAUCACAAUCUUCAUCAGCAUUCAAAAGACAAUGUCGAUCCUUAGCAUCAUGAACAAUAUCUUUCCACACUGUUUCACUCAUAACUAGGGUCCUUUCACUCCCCAAAAUCCAAAGACCAUGUCUGGAAAGGCAAAAUGAAGUCAUUUGCCUCAUAAUAUUAAAUGUAAAAUGAUUGCAAAGGAAUUCUUUAAAGAAUACGUUUAAAGCCUUACCUAGCUCUUGUUAAAGCAACAUUAGUUAUUUUAACAUCGGCCAUAACCCCAACUGAUCCAAAAUUAUUAGCUCGUACAGUUGAUAUCAGUAUUAUAUCUUCUUCUCCACCCUGAAACCCAUCAAUUGUCUGUACCUUUACUGAAAACCUAUCGUUGUUCUCAUACUUCUGUCUGAAUCUUUCUUGAAUUUCAAGUACUUGAGCAGUAUAUGAGGAUAGUACACCAAUUCUAAGCUCCUCCUUUAUUCCACUCCUCCAAUCUGGAUAGAGAAACCAUUAAAAAUAUCAAAACAAAAUCAAUCCAACAGAGCAUGGGAGCAAUGAAACAUUCUUUAUGGGCAUUGUUUAGAGAAAUUAGUGGCAUAAACCAAAAUAUUGUAUAUAAUGAACCCUUGAUUUUAAAAGAAAGUGCAUUAAUAUAGAGAGGAGUCUUCACUUUACUAAAGUUCUCUCACUUUGUAUUUCAAGAGCCAGGAGUGGAAUUGAUACAAAAAGGAAGAAACACAAUUGCCUUUUAGAAGAAAUUGCAAGAGACUCUGCUACUCUUGUAUGUUUCAAGAUACAGGAUGGCCCAUGAUUUGAUGUUGUAAUUUGUAGAAUAAAAUUUCCCAUGGAAAAAGGCAUAUGCAAAUGCCUUGGCUUUGUAAAUAUAAAGGGGUAAAUACAGAGGAAGAAACUCAUAAGUAGAUUCAUAUACAUGAACCGUUCAAAGGAAAACUACACUAUUAGUGUGGUGCUAGUAUCAAACUCAUGCAAAUCAAGAAGUUCGAGCAUGUAAAUUGCUACAUCAUGAGAAGUAUAGUUCAGUAUGUAAAUAUCAGAUGUGGAGAAGCCAAGAAGGCAAAAUGAUAUUUGCAAUAUAUGAGAAAGAAUCAGCUUUGUCUUCACCACUUGGUGUAUAGAAAUGAGGAUGGACAAAAAAUGAAGUAGCAGAUAAUAAGGAUGACAUAGAAAUUGAUCUUCACCAUGUUUUUUCAUGCCAUAUAAUCCAGAAAUGAACUUAUGCACAAAUUUUCCUCAACAUUGGAUAUUCUGGUUUUGGGAAAACAGAAAUCAGCAUUUAAAGAAGAAAUAGAAACACAUCAUAACAAUGCCAUACCUUGGUAUAGAUUCUGUACUAUCUUCAUCAAAACAGCCACCUCAACCAUAUUUUUCACACUAUGUCCAACCUCAUCCACUUCCUCCCUCCCACAAGAAAUAUUUAUGAAUAAAUAUGGUCUAAAAACUGGGUCGGGAAGAUAUUUUUUUUCAUAGGCUUUAUGCUUAACAUUUGGAGCAUCCAAUAUUUGAUUUGCAUAAAAAUUUGAGCAUGGAAACAAACUGAUUGAUGGAUGCAUUCGGUACUGCAGAUUGAGGAAGUGCUUUGCAUGAUCCAGUGAACUCAAUCUUUCAUAUAAGCUUCUCCCGAAGCCAGCUCUAUCACAAAUCUGUUGAAAAGAGAAAAAAACACUGAAAACUUGGAAAACCAUAUGUUCAAAACAAACUUUGAGGGUAAAAGGGAAAAGGUAUUGAGGAAGCUCUGUGAAUAAAUCCAACAUUUCUACUUAAACGUGAAUGCAAUCAACAUAUUAGAAUUGACUUACAUUGCUUGUCACUCUUGAGGGUAAUUGGAACUUAUCCCCAAUCAGAAUAGCAAGCUUUAUACCAGGAAGUUGGAGUGGAAUGGUUGACUCACACUCUCUUAACUGUGCAGCUUCAUCAAUAACCAAAAUGUUUAAUGGCUUCAUAUCCACCAAAUGUAGUUUAUGCGAAUCAGAAGCAGUGGAGAAAAUAGAAGAAGCUGUUUGAAAACAGAAAUCUAUUAACAAAUCUUUGCUGUUAUUCUUUGGAAAUUGAAGCUCAUCAAGCGAAUUCCGAAGAUUUUUUAGAAUGUGAAGGCAUUCGCUUCUGAUUUCCAUCAAGGUUGAUGAAUCCGCAACAGACUUAGAAGAAUGCUUCACAUUUUUUUUCCCUGCAAACAGGUUUUCUAGUUCUUCAGAAACCAUAUUGUCUUGAUGCAACAAAGAUUCAAAAGAACGGAGGAAGCCUAGAAGAGAUAACAUUGCUUGGAAGUUGUGUUCCAUAAUAAAGCUUUUGGGUAUAUGGGUAGAGAGGGUAAUGACAACUUCCCUGAGAUGCAAAGAUGUAGAUUUGAACUGCUCUCUUGCCAACUGAAGAUAUGUUUUUCUCUUUCCCUUGCUACCAUCAAUGCUGCCUUCCUCCAUUUUAGACAAUUCAUCUUCAGAGACACGGUCCUCAGAAACACCACCUUCAAGGAAAACUAUCAUUGAGUUGAAAGAAUGCCUCCAACCAUUUAGUGGCUCAAAGCACUUUGCCAGUCUUUCUACACGAUGAUCCAAAUAUAUCUCUUUCAUCUCUGAACCAACUGCAGUGGAGUCAUAGUCACCAAAGAAGAGAAGAUCUCCCAAGGAACAAAUCGAAGCAUCCUUCUGAGGGUCUGUUUCAAAUGACUCUUUCAAAUGCUUCAUAACCCGAGAUGCCACCUCCUUAACUGCAACAGCAGUUGGAGCACAAGUAAGAGUCCUUAUGUUUGUUCCCAAGAGAGCACAUAGCAAUGCACUAAUAGUUCUAGUCUUCCCUGUUCCUGGUGGGCCACAGAUAAGUUCCACAGAUGACUUGUGGUUGCAGUGAAUUUUACGAAGUGAAGCCAAAACCGCAGCCAUUUGAGACUUAUUCAGCUUAGACGAUAGGAUUGUGCCAAAAGUUUCAGUGCGUACUCCUCUACUGCUCUCUGGACAGAGUUCACAACUUUCUUUAACCUGUAAUUUACAAUCCAAAUUUGAGAUGCCAUACAAAAGCAAACAAGUAAGAAAUUUCUAAAGCAUGCUCACGGUGCAAUGCUUACCGUUGAAUCAGUGAACAAAACUUGUUUGAUAAUAUUCAGAUUCCCAGACAUGUGUAGUGCAUUCCAAAUUCUUUCACCAGUUGUUAUAUUAAUUAGGAAAUACAUGAAGGUCCAUUUGUUCUUCCCAUCUCCUUCUGUUCUCUCUUUUGAUACUCGGACUUUAAAACAAACAGUUGUACCAUCAUCCUCAAUCUCAUUCUCUCUGACUUCAGUGACCAAUGCAAAAGCCCAUGUCUUCCUCCCCAAGCAUUGUAUAUCAGAAAAAGUUUCAAGUUUAGCAUCUGCAAAAAUAACAAGAUCUCCAGGCACUGUUCUAUAAGGGUCCAGACAACGGCCAGCGGACCUGUUUCUCCAGUAAUCAACCCUGACAUUGUAUAGUAAUUCUUCAUCUGGUUCAACCUUGUCAAUACAGAUAACUUCAGCGAAAGGUGCCCUGGAAAUCAGCUCCAAACCUAAAGAGAGUUGAGCCCUUGUUUCUUCCAGUAAAGGGUAUACAAAUGAUGCAAAAUAAUGCUCUGCUGAUUGAAAUGUACCAGGAAUCUUUUCCACCUGAAAAUGCAAUGGAAUUCAAUUUUAAAAACUAAAAUUUUUUGUAGUAAUAGAAAUUUAAGCACACCAUCUGCUCAAUCAAAGAUUUAUAAUGCAUAAAACGGCAAUAGAAGGAAAAGCAGAAGGAUGAAUCAGAUUGAAGGAUUAGUGUUAAACUAACAGUUAACUCCAAAGCUUGAGGUUUUAGGUAAUGGGUCGCCAGUUAAAAGAAUAGAAAACAGAACAAAGAGGACAUUGGAGAUUGAGACAGGAGGUUAAGGAAACUAUAAAAAUUCCAAGGGAGGAAUGAUAUUUAUCUGACUUACGGUCUACAGAUUCUCGUCGAAAGAUAAGUCAAUUUUCUUUACCAAUUUUCUUCUCUUUUCCGAGAAAAUUCUAAACAAAAAGAAAAGGUUUAAAACGGGGGUUAAUGGUGGGACACGUUGAGGGAAAUGAGACUGAUUCCACCUGCCAGAGGAAUCCACUGGGAUCUUCAAAAGUUUGAGGGGAGUAACAUGGGAAAGCAAAUACCAAAAGUCAAAAAAAUAAGAUUUAUAAAAAGAAGAAAAUAAAAGAAAAAUUAAUAAAAUUUAUUAAUAUUUCAUUUUUAUUUUUAUUUUUUUGUUGUAAGUUAGAUAAAAACAAUUGUCACUUUGUACACUUAUUUUCUCCUUUUUAUACAUAUGUGAUACAAUAAAACAUAUUUGACCAUUUCCCAAUUAAUUUAUGCUUACAAAGUUAUUUUUUAAUAGGAUGUUUUUAAGAAAAAAGAUGUACAUAUAUAAAAAAAAGAUUUUCUUGUUAAUUCUUUAUAAAGACAUCGUGUACCAUGGAUAAAAAUAUUAGGAAAUUUUUUAUAUUUAUAUGUGUUUUUCAAAAAAUAUGUUUUUUUAAUUAUUUUUUCUAAUUCAUCUUUUAUUUUAAAUUUAUAUUUCCAUUUCAUUUUAUAUUAUCCUUUUAUUUUCAAUUAUUUUUUAUAUUUAUCUCAUUAAUUCUAUUUUAUAAAAUUACUAUCAUUUUACUUUUAAUUUUUUUAUAUUUAUCUAUUAAUUUUAUUUAAUUUUAAUUUUUUUAUUUUAAAACAUUAAAAAUAUAAAUUUAUUCAAUAAUUUUUAUAAAAAAAUUAAUGAAAUUCUAAUAUUUUAUAAAUUAAAAUUUAUUUGAUAAGAUAAAUUAUUAACAGAAUUUUUAAUAAAUUUAAUUAUUUAAAUAAGUUAAUAGUAAUAGCCAACGGUUAUCACCACAAAUUUGUAAUAAAAUUUUAUAAAUUAAAAGAAAAAAAAUGUGUUUCCAUGCACUCUUAUAAAAAUAAUCAUAAAAGAAAAACCCAAAAUAAUUCACUGGUAAUAUUUAUAAUGAUCAAAGGUAGAACUUAUAUAAUUAAAAUGUAGUACAUGAAUAGUCAAAGGUAGUACUUUUGAUCAAAAAAUACAUGAAAUACUAAUUAUUUUUAAAUGACGGUUUGAAAUUUGUAUUUUAUUAACUUGACUUCCUAUUUUGUGAUUUUUUUUUUCAUAUGGGUGUAUGGAAACAUACAUUUCUCAAAAUUAAAUCUCAAAUAAAAUAUUUUAUAUAAAUCUAUUUAGUUUUUUUUUAUUUAAAAUGUAAUAAAACAUGUUUUAAUAAAAGUAGUUUUUAAUUUAAGAUAUUUUUUCUAAAUUUUUUUAAUAAAUACUAUGGUUGAUCAUAACUAUAACAAUUAUACUUAUAAAAUAACUUUACCACGAUGUAUUCUUCCUUAUUUUAUUUUUAUUUUUAAGAUUUCCAAGAUUAUCAUGACUUUUGCACAAUUUUCACCCACUAAUAUUUUUGUCAAAAUAUUACCGUUAUUUUCUAUAUAUUUGAAAAUACAAAUAGGGAUAUAUUCAUGUUUAUCAAUAUUUUCAUCAUGUGUACUAUUUUUUCAUAUUUUUAUUUUUAUUUUUUUAUAAUAUUGUGAAAAAAAAUGAAAAUAGUUUAAUUUUAUUCUUAAAAAUGGGCCACUUUUUAGAAUAUUUUUUUUAAAAAAAGAAAAACUUAUUUUCUAGUCCAAAAUUUACUAUUAAUAUUUUAAAAUUUCAAAAUUAUUUUAUUAUGAAGGAGUACUUUGGAAAGAGUUAAAAUAGUCCACAAAUAAGGAGCAACAACAAAAGGGAGAAUAAUAAUUUUAAGUAAAAAAAAAAAACAAAAAACUUAGGUUAUGCUUGAUUACUAAAAUACAUACUUGAUUUAAAAAAUAAUAUAUAAUUAAAAAUUAUUUAUUUAACCUUUAUAUUUAAAGGGAAAAAAAUAAACCUAAUUAUUCUAUUUUGAUAAUCAAACAAAUAUAAAUAAAUAAAAUGGAUUUGAUCCUUUAAACAAAUAAAUAAUGAGAAACACUUCCUAAACAAAAUUAAAACUGGAGCCACUGCAUAUCAAUAUUACAUUUUAAAUUUUAAAUUAUUAAAAACUAGAAUUCCUGGAAAAAAAAAAAAAAAGGUGUUUAUAUGAAGAAAGAUAAUAAUUGAUUUUUUCAUUUUUAUCCUUUCUUUUCUUAACAUAGAGGUUAUUUGAAUUUUUAAUUUUGAAAAAUAAUUAUUUUUUGAAGAGAAAAACUAAAUAUCAAAUGGUUAAAAAUUCCUUAUAUUAUAAAUAUAAAAAGGGUAUAAGUUAAAAUAAAAAGAAAUAGAAAAAUAAUUAAUCACAUCCUAUUUUAUAAAAUUAAAAAAAAAUUAUUCAUUUUGUAAGAAAAUAAAAAAUGAUUAAAAAAGGCGAAAAAAAUAUUAAAAGAGGGAAAAAUGCAUGAAUAUAUGAUUAUAAACCCGCCCUUCUAAAGUAUUUAUCAAAAUUAAGGUCUUAUUUGGUAACUGUUUUUUAAAAUAGUUUUGAAAAAUAGUUUUUGAGAACAGUUUUUUAAAACCAUUCUUUGAUGUUUUGUAAAACAAAAAUUUAUUUGACAACCUAAAAUAUUUUUAACAUAUUUUUAAAAGGCCUAACAAUUAAAAGAUGUUUUUUAAAAAUAUGUUGUUUUCUCUUCUUAAGAACAAAAAAAUAAAAAACAAUUUUUAAUUCUUGAACAUGUUUUCAAUUUUUUGUUAUGAAAAAUAAAAAACUAUUCUAAAAAAUAUUUCCCAAAAAGGCCUAAGAAUCUCAGCCUCUCGAUCUCUUUCAAGGGUCUAUCCUCCUCCUAAAAGACGAACCAUUUUCAAACAAGUAAAGCUAAACGGAGAUGACUAAACCAUGCAUACACUAAGAAAGCCUCAACCGAGGAACAAGUGAAUUGGCUUGGCCCUGUAUAUGAAAGACCCAAACUCAGCCAAAGUGGGGCUAUAGCCUAUAGCUAGCUUAAGAAUCAUAAUCCAGCAAAGCACCAACUCCAUAUAUAACCACAAUAUUACUAUUAAAAAUGCUGAAGCAUUCCAUAAUAUUAUAAAACAAAAAAGGAUGAUAAAGAAUAGAAGAACCUGGGUCUUGUAAAGAUCUUCAUUCUGAAUGUCUUCAAGGGACCAAGAAAACAGCCGCUGGGUCAACCCAGAGACUUUGGGAACUGCUCUCGUCUCCCUCUCCAUCUUUCUCUAUUUUUGAACCAAGUCUAGUAAGUCAACUAAGUCCUUAAGCCCUUCAACCCAUCAAACAAAGCUACAUAUAGAGAGAGAAAUGACGAAACUUAGCUAGAAAGGAAGCAAAAGUGAGGGAAAUCUAGGAAUCUGCAGUAAAAGCAGUGGGUUCUCAUGUCCAGUAGCAUUCCUCCAUUCAUAGCUUUUACACUAAGAGAGUCAUUCCAUCAUGCAAACCUUAAAAAGAGGAAGCCAAAGUAAUAUAAAAGGAAAAAGUUUGCAGUAAAGGAAUAACAGUCUAAAGUUGGCUGGUAUUUUUCAAUCAACUUCCACAGUCCCACUCCAAUACAAAAUAAAUAAAUAAAUUCUCUCCCUUUUAAUAUUUCCUUUUUUUUAAAAAAAACUUUUUUAUACAUGGGUUCUGCUUCUGCCUACAUAUUUCAAAAUUAUUUUUAAAGUUUUAAAAAGUUGAAAAAUCAAGACUACCACCAAAUAUAUUCUAUUUCAAAAAAAUUCAUACAAAAGCGAAAAAAUGUUAGCGUCCGUCUAGUAACUGUUUUCAAUAACAAUUUUGAAAAACAAUUUUUGAAAAUAGUUUUUCAACAUUGUUCUAUAUGCUUUGUAAAAUAAAACUCUAUUUGAAAACAUAAAAUGUUUUUAACCUAUUUUUAAAAAUAAUUUUUAUAUAUAAUGUUUUAUUUUUAAUCAUUUUAUAUUUUUGUAUAAUUAUUAUUUUUUUUAAAAAUCUUUAUAAAAUAAGUCAAAACAACUAAAAAAUAUUAUUUGAAAACAUCAUAUUUUUUUUUUAAUUUUAAGAACCAAAAACAAAAAAUAAUUUUUAGUUGUGAAACGUGUUUUUCUCAAAUUUUUUAUUAUUUUGAAUUACAAAAAAUUAUCUCAAAAAUAGUUGUCACACAGGUCUUUACAUUUUAAUAGUUUUAUAAGUUUUUUUAAAAUUUAUAUACAAAGUUAUUCCAUUUAAUAAAUUUUAUAAUAUUAAUAUUAUCAUUUAAAAUUAUUAUUUUAUAACAUAUUUUAAUCGUUUUCAUUUAUAUUCUCAAGAUUAUUUUGAAAAAUAACUAUAUAAAUAUAAAAAAUAAUUAUAACAAAAAAUAUUUUAAAAAAUUAAAAUCUUGCUUUAAAAGUGGUCAUGGAAUUUACAAAAGGAAGGAUGAGGUUCCCUUUUACACUUAUUCUACUUUUAUUCCAUUAGCACCAUAUUUUUUUCUAUGGAACCCUUUCUUUAUUCCUCUGCAUACGUCCGUUCAAUAGAAAAAACAAUGCUGCCCCUUUCCUUUUUUUCUCCUUUAUGUCUUUCAAUUUUAUGCUUGAUCAAAUUCAACUCAAACUUUGGAAUGGGAAAAGGCAUUGAAGAGUCAUAAGCUAUUUCUUCAACACUAAAUAGAAAAUGCAGAUUGAAGAAGACAUAAAAUUUUCGACUACAUUUUUCCCAGAUUUUUUUUCACUUCUCUUGUUGGGCCAUUAUUCAUAGCUGUGAUUUCUUCAGCAUAGCAUCAUCCGUUUUUAUCUUCAGUAGUCCUGGACCCAGCAGCUGCAGCAUUCUUCAAGCAUAUCUGUCUCAUGAAAGGCUCUACCCUCGCCUUUCCUGGCUGCAACUGCUUCAAAAGUAGUUCAAAAUUUGACAUGUUUUUCUCAAGAUUCUCCCCACUGAACACAAGAAAGCAAAUAACUGGCUAAAAUUUUGUUUCACCAACAAAAAUAUAGUUCUGCUACAACAAAUAAAAGAUGGGUUCUGCAGACUCAAUCCAAAAAUGGUGGCCAUACUGAGCAAAUUUUGAGAAUGGCAUAAAAUUAGAGCCUCCGACAAUGAUAUAUAUUCGAGCUAUACCUGAAAACUGGACUCCGAUUCAGCAGAUAAGAAAGCUGCUUAAAGCCAUCAACCAUUCUGUUUGCAUGCCAAAGAAGAUUCCCAUCUUCGCAGUGGACCCUGUUUGGUUCCCCAGCCAUCUUUUCAUCUUCACUGUCACAAGGGAUCAUCUGAAAGUAUUGGGUCAUGACAGCAACUAUGAGGUUGAUACUUUUCUCCACCAAGACCUGAAAAUAUCAAGAAGAUAGAACAUGUGAAAGAUUCUCAUUAAUCUGGUUGCAAGCUUUCAGGAUACUAAAAGAGGCCAUUUGGUAUUUCACCUGCACCCUUGGGUUAUUUAAAUUGCAUUUUUCCAUGCCCGCAUCCUUUGCAUUCUCUAAUGGCUUCAGAGCAUUAAAUAUUUCACAGAAGCGUUCAUAAUUCUCUUGCAGAUCCUUUCCUUCAGCUUCAUUCCUCGCCUUCAUGUUCUGGUCUGCAGUGGAUGAGUUUGAAGAAUCAGGCUCAGACGCUUUCCCACAAUCACUAUAGACCAAUGAUUGCUGUCCACGGCUUGAAACAUUUUUCGGAAACAAUACACGCAGUAUGCCCUCUUUGUUUUGGUUAACCACAUCAUCCAAAAGAAUUGCAUCAGGAGAGAAGUGAAAAUGAUUAUUUCCCCAACUCACUAUCACAAGCACACUCUCGAUCUGCUUUAGAGCUUCUGCAAGUACUUCAACAAAACUGCGUUUCUGUCUACCAAGAAAGGCAUCAUAGAACUGCUUUGGUAGAUGUGAAAUAAUGCAGUUCCUACCGAGCAAAUCAAACAGUAAAUCAAAAUGCUUUCCCGAGUUCACACAAAUUAAACACAUUAUCACAACUAGUCUUAACACCAGCACUGGAUAGUCCUUCAAAUCUGUAUUAGAUUUUUCAAGCCAUUCCACUGUUCCCUCCUCAUCACAAAGUAGCUCAUGAACGAUGGAGACCAUGAAACUGUAAGUGUCCCCCAAUAUCUCAGUCUUCUCAGAUGCACCCACAUCCGUCAGUGAACUGGCACUCGGAGUGGUGUUCCACUGCUGGAAAAUAAGCCAUUCAACCACCAAAUCUUUAGUUGUGAAGACGUAUCCCUGGCAAUAUGACACUAAAAACAAUAGGUGUUCCACAAGAUACUAGAAACAAACUGGUGACACAAAAUCAAUUCCUUUUCGCCAGUUGGCAUUGUGUCUUCCAGUGCUUCACGGAGCUUCAAAAUCAAUGAAAGUUCUUCCUGAGCAGCAGCAGAACUCUUUGAAGACAGUUCUGAUCUCUUAGUAACACAAAGUCUCUUAAUAAAGUCUUUCCAUGGUGAAUCCUUAUUAAAGCUUUCCGCAAAUUCGUCAGUUAGCUUACAUGACCCAAGCAUAAUCAUCACUGCCCUCCCAAUUUGACCAUAUGUGAGGUUUCCCUUCAAGCUGAUGUUUUUAAGAAUAACUUCUCUAAGUAAAUUCCCAGCAAGCUUAUUUUCUCUGAGAGACACCAUAUCCUCAGUAGAUGAUUUUCGCCAGUCGAGGGGAUAUAUGUAGCCAAAGAAGCGCUCACUUGAUUUUUCAAGAAACAUUUGGAGUGUCUCGGCAUGAGGAUGCCAGCAGUGCAGUGACCCUGUCUUCAUAAGAAAAUUAGUCACAUCAAAUAUAUAAAUAAGAGGAAUGCUUUGGCAAAACACAGGAAAGGAAUUCCUGGUACAGAACUGAUACAAGUUUUCAAGAAUUUCCAAAAUCUUUAUGCCUACAGAAAGUAAUUCUGCACACCAAUAACUCCUGGCAGCAGAGACAAACUGACUAGCAUCAAUGAAGACCAAUUUUCCAUUUCUAUGCAAAAAUCUGUCAUCGGUUUUUCUUACCCAAUCUGCCUCAGGGUAGAGCACAAGGUAAAGAGGAGUUCGCUUAUUGGGCUGCUUCAGCACACCCAAGUAAUUCAAACAGAACUCUUUAUAAUCCACAUAUUUCUUAAUAGCUCCACCGAGAUAUUCUAAUAUAUUCACAAUCUCAUCCUUCCAGAAGUUCCAAAACUUCCAGAAGUGAACCAAAGUUUCAAUGGAGAACUGGUUACUGGAUAUUCUUUCUUCUGAAUGUGUUGUCAGAUAGGUAUAUAAAUCAGAUUUCCCCCUAUCCUCCAAGAUACUUAUUAAAUGAAGGUGAGCAUCAAUAAUUUUUCGAGCAGAUAAGAUUUCACCUCUAACACUUCCAUUAUUCUGGGAAGAUCUAAAAUACUCAUUCAGCUCAAACAAGGUACUCUGUUCAUGUGAUAAGAUGUCAACCUCUGUACAGAUAAAUCCAUAAAACUGCUUUGAAACCCUCUCAGCAUUUACUUUGGCUUUGUUUACAAGCUCCUUCUUUCGUAUAAACUGCUUCAAAGGCCAUCCUUCGCUUCCAGGUUGCCACAGAGAAUUGACUAACACAUACUGCAGAAUAGCCUUUGAAGAAUCUUCCAAACAUCCAGCCUCCACCAGCAUUUCAACCUCUAAUGAUAUAUCUCCAAUGCACUUUGCAAUAUUUGCAGCCUCAACAAAGUUUUCCUUUUCUUUUUCAAUCAAAAGAAGCUCAUCUAGACAACAUAAGUCCCUCAAGAAAGUGCGAAUCGACUCAAAGGAAUGGAAAGCUCUAACAUACUUCAUCAUGCCUGUGAGAUCUUUAAGCUCAUGACAGUGACGGGCACAUCCUUCUAACAAAUUCUGUUCAAUUCUGUGUAUUUCACCACUUUCUUUAAUAGCACCCUUACUGUUUUGUUUCCACUGCUGGAUGACCUGCAAACCCAUGUAGAAGAGUCUUCCUUUAAUGCAUACAGCCAAACACUCUGAGAAAUAGUUUCCUUUAGCAUAGGCCUCAGCUGCACUCUUGUAGCAUCUUGCCAGAGAAAAACAUUCCCCGGCUUUAUCCAGCAUAGGUUCCCCACAUUGUUCCAUAUAAAUUCUCCCUGCUCAAAAAUUAUGUUACAAUAUAGAAUGUCAAUUCCUCCCCCCCCCCCAAAAAAAGUAUAAGAACUAAAAAUUCAAUUAAAUUUGAAUUCUGGAUGGUAUUACAAUUGAGCAAUAAUCCAAGAUGAUCACUAGCAUGGCCGGUGGAAAAUCAUGCAAGCAGAAACCAGAGCAGUAUAGUAAAUACAACUUCAAAUUCAAAGUUUUAUAUGAUCAUAAACUGGACUAUUACUUUAAGAUAACCUUGAACUAAGUUCACAACAAGGAGGUUAUGAAAAAAAAACAAGAACGCAUUAUCUCAGGACACAGGGCGCCAGGUAAAAUCACCAUUAACUCCAUCUGUGCAAUGCUAACGUACUAAAACAUUAACUUAUGGGACAACAAAUCAGGCAUGUGUCUUUUUAUUACCAACAAUAGGAAACAUUCUGUUCUUCAGAGUUGCAAAGCUGCAUGCCCUUGAUAAGAUCGAUUGUCUACUGUUGUCUAUCUUUAGGACUAGAACUUAGCAGUCUUCCCCACCAACCACAUGGCUUGAUCUAUAGAUUUUGGGAUAUUGCUAACUUUCGUAGACUGAAGGUGAUGGAACAGAUCAAACGGGAGAUACCUUCAAGGCAAUGGAAUUGAGAAAUAUGGUAGGUGGGGAAGUAAAAUUAAUCCUUGUUCAUACAUGGGCUUCUCUGGUACCAAAUGAGCCACUUCAAAUAGGUUCAUAUUCAACAUUCAGACUAGAAAAAAGCUGUGAACUGACCAUUAAUUUCAAAGUAAACUAAAUAAUUUAUAGUUACAACUUAAUGCUGCAGGAUAUGCCUGAAUUUUCAGAUAAUAGUUCCUGAUAUAAAAAAUAUGUAGUCAAACUGAUAUAACCUUGUUAAAAAAGAAAAAAAAAAAAAAAAAAACAAAUACCUGCUCUUUCGUAACUCCUCAUUUCAAAAAAACACUUGGCAGCAUAUUCAGCCUUGCCAAUGCCUUCAAACAUAUCAGCAGCCUCACUAAGGUAAUUUUUGGCCAUUUGAGGACUUGAACUGGAUAUACUAAUAGCCAAUGCUUGAAGACUAGCAGCCCUAGCAAACUUUUCAUUGUACAUGUCCCCUGCUUUUUCAAAGCAGAGUCUUGCCAUUUCAUAGUUAUGUUCAUGGAAGAGCUGCAAGGUGGUAAAGAACAGUAAUUAGUCAGAAUAAGAUACUCAUCAAGGAAUGCUUCAAAAUCAACACAAAUUCAACAACAGCAGCAGCAGAACUUGAAAUAGCAGUAUCAAUAACAGCAAGGAGAUGACAAAUGGAAACUGGUUUUAGUUUUGCAGUAAAUUCUUUUAGAUUUCUCAGUUUACUAGCUUCAGGUGGUGCUCAAGAAAAAGAGGCAAAUAAUGUUGGCAAUAACAAUAAGAACAAAAAUAUUAAAAAUCAAACCUUGAAACCCUGUGACCUCCACUCAUCUGGUCUGCUUGCAACUUGCAUUCCCUGAGCAACUAAAUCAUGCAGACAUCUGACCUGAAUGAGGGACAACUUUUCCCAGUAUUCGAACAUUGGUUUGGAAACUUCAUCUAUAAUAUCACAGAUCCAUAACCUUUGCCGUGUACGAGUUAUUGCCACAUAUAGUUGCUUCAGCUCAGAGCACAAGACAUUGUGUUUUGCCUCAUCAAAACUUGGAAAAGAUAUAAGGGAUUUAGAAUCAACCAAAUUAAUCUUAUUCAUAAACUGAUAUAAGACUCUCCAAUGGUGUUUGAAAGGGCAUGACCCAAAGAAGUUACACAACAAGACAUCCUACAAAAUGAAAACAAUAAGAAGUCAAACACCUAGUCAUGGGAGUAAAAAUAUAAAGUAUAUUAACAUGUCAUUUGAAUGAAUGCAAGGAUGCUAUUUACUUCAUGAAAGUUAUGCUUCAUGCAAAACAAACGCAUAUCCUUUCAUUGUUGGAAAACAUUAUACAAAAAGCACAGUAUGAAGUGUUACAAUAUAGUAGGGUCAUGCAGGAUUUAGAACAGCAACGGGAAAUCAUAGAAAAGCCUAAGCUGAUGAAAGGAUAGAAGUUGUUGGCAUCAUUGAUCCUUCAAAAACAAUCUCAACCCUUUUUUCUCAAAAGAAAUCAUAAAAAUACAUAAACAAACAAAUUUAUGGAUUAUAAAUAAAAUAUCAUUUACCCGAAACUCUAGGCCCUUGCACUCCAAUAUUGUCAGAACAAGAGCUUUCUUUCCAACAUAUUUAGAAAUUUCCUCCUUAGCAGAAUCAUUCCGCACUAAUAUAACCUGCUCCGCUCCAAAACCAACAUUCUCUUGGGCGUUUUCGCUAUCUCCAAAAAUAGUUGGUAAUGCAUCUCUGAAAUUCCCACAUUCAAUCAAAACUGGAGCUUCCCCAUUUAUAAGGCUUGUCUCAGGGUUCAAUACAUCAAUAGUUAAAGGGAAGAAAUGGUAAAGAAGGUCAAUUAUACUUUGUGCUAAGUUAAGCACACCAGCAUGUGUGCGAAAGUUCUGGCUCAAAUGAAAAAUUUUCGAUAAUUUUCCUUUCUCUUUCUUUUCAUCAGUUGCAUCGGUUCUAGAGCCCAAUACAAAUUCCUUGAAAAACAAAUGGCGUAUAUCCUGGAACCUAAAAUGAACCCCCUUAGCAAUAGUUUGUGCUGUAUCACCCGAGAAAACAAAUCCCUCAUCAAUAUUUUUACUGACAUACUUGAAAAGAGCAAUCUGUCUCAUGGUCAGGUCCUGCACCUCGUCAAUGUACACAAAAUCAAUGUGAUCACCUUCAUAUCUUUCACUUCUAAGUCGAAAAUGAAGAUCCAUUACUAAGUCAGACAAAUCAUAUUCACCCUUCUUGAACUUUUUCUUUUCAUAUUCUAGAAAAAUAUCGUAAACUCUGUCUCUUUGCUCCCUGGUAAGAGUAGACACCCGAGCCUUAGAUAGUAAAAGAUAGUCCUCACGAGAGAGUAUACCAUCAUGGGCCUUUCCUGCUUCUAACCCACCUUUUAUAUGAGAAAUUAUCUCAGUAAAAACUGCAGAAGAGUCAAGAUAUUUUAUUAGAUGGGAUUUGAAAUAGGGCCAGUAAGAUGAUAUGAAUCUCUCAUAAUUAACCUCUCUUGAUCUGAUAAAGGUUUUCAGGGUAACGGUUCUUGAAGGUUUAUGUGCAUCAGGAAAUCUUGAGAAGUACGAAUUACCCACUGUUCCAUCAAGCAUCAUCAAAAACUUAUGAAAAGUGAUAACAAGGGGGUAUGACUUCGAUGGGAUAUUAACAAAAGAAUCUGGAAUAUCCUUGAAUUGCACCGUG